AUUGAACGCUGGCGGCAUGCCUUACACAUGCAUGUCGAACGGCAGCACGGGAGCAAUCCUGGUGGCGAGUGGCGAACGGGUGAGUAAUAUAUCGGAACGUGCCCAGUAGUGGGGGAUAACUGCUCGAAAGAGCAGCUAAUACCGCAUACGACCUGAGGGUGAAAGGGGGGGAUCGCAAGACCUCUCGCUAUUGGAGCGGCCGAUAUCCGAUUAGCUAGUAGGUGGGGGCAAGGCCUACCAAGGCAACGAUCUGUAGUUGGGCUGAGAGGACGCCAAGCCACACUGGGACGGCGACACGGCCCAGACUCCUACGGGGGGCAGCAGUGGGGAUUUUUGGACAAUUGGCGCAAGCCUGAUCCAGCAAUGCCGCGUGCAGGAAGAAGGCCUUCGGGUUGUAAACUGCUUUUGUCAGGGAAGAAAUCCUCUAGGUUAAUACCCUUGGGGGGAUGACGGUACCUGAAGAAUAAGCACCGGCUAACUACGUGCCAGCCGCCGCGGUAAAAC
rnacentral:rRNA from 1 species